UCUGGUGGUUAUUGCAAGGAGGCCACACCCGAUCCCAUCCCGAACUCGGAAGUUAAGCUCCUUUGCGCCGAUGGUACUGCAUGAUUUCUUGUGUGGGAGAGUAGGUCGCCGCCGGAA
rnacentral:rRNA from 1 species